rnacentral:rRNA from 1 species
AUUGAACGCUGGCGGAAUGCUUUACACAUGCAAGUCGAACGGCAGCACGGAGAGCUUGCUCUCUGGUGGCGAGUGGCGAACGGGUGAGUAAUAUAUCGGAACGUGUCCAAUAAUGGGGGAUAACGAGUCGAAAGAUUCGCUAAUACCGCAUACGCCCUACGGGGGAAAGCAGGGGAUCGUAAGACCUUGCGUUAAUGGAGCGGCCGAUAUCUGAUUAGCUUGUUGGUGAGGUAAAGGCUCACCAAGGCGACGAUCAGUAGCUGGUUUGAGAGAACGACCAGCCACACUGGAACUGAGACACGGUCCAGACUCCUACGGGAGGCAGCAGUGGGGAAUUUUGGACAAUGGGGGCAACCCUGAUCCAGCCAUUCCGCGUGAGUGAAGAAGGCCUUCGGGUUGUAAAGCUCUUUCGCGAGGGAAGAAAACUUAUGAUCGAAUAAAUCAUGAGGUUGACGGUACCUUGAUAAGAAGCACCGGCUAACUACGUGCCAGCAGCCGCGGUAAUACGUAGGGUGCGAGCGUUAAUCGGAAUUACUGGGCGUAAAGCGUGCGCAGGCGGUUUUGUAAGUCGGAUGUGAAAUCCCCGGGCUCAACCUGGGAACUGCGUUCGAAACUGCAAGGCUAGAGUGUGUCAGAGGGGGGUAGAAUUCCACGUGUAGCAGUGAAAUGCGUAGAGAUGUGGAGGAAUACCAAUGGCGAAGGCAGCCCC